AUCCAGCUGACGAGUCCCAAGCAGGACGAAACGCGCGUCAAACUGAAU
rnacentral:hammerhead_ribozyme from 1 species